UACACGGUGGAUGCCCUGGCAGUCAGAGGCGAUGAAGGGCGUGCUAAUCUGCGAUAAGCGCCGGUAAGGUGAUAUGAACCGUUAUAACCGGCGAUACCCGAAUGGGGAAACCCAGUGUGAUUCGUCACACUAUCAUUAACUGAAUCCAUAGGUUAAUGAGGCGAACCGGGGGAACUGAAACAUCUAAGUACCCCGAGGAAAAGAAAUCAACCGAGAUUCCCCCAGUAGCGGCGAGCGAACGGGGAGGAGCCCAGAGCCUGAAUCAGCAUGUGUGUUAGUGGAAGCGUCUGGAAAGGCGCGCGAUACAGGGUGACAGCCCCGUACACAAAAGCGCAU
rnacentral:rRNA from 1 species